UAACAAGGUCUCCGUUGGUGAACCAGCGGGAGGGAUCAUUACUGAGUUUUCAACUCCCAACCCUUGCGAACCGUACCCCGUUCUGUUCUCGUUGCUUCUGGCGGGAGAGCGGGAGUAGGAGGGGGGGGGGAGAGGCCGCUGUCGUCCUUUUAUUAGGGCGCUGGCGCCUCUCUCUCUCUCUCUCUCUCUCCUUUUCCCAGGUCCCUUCGGGGCGCCCGCCAGCGGCCGCGAGCCGCCCGAACUUUUAAAUCAAACCGUUACCUUAACGUCUGAGAAACAAACAAAAACAGCCAAAACUUUCAACAACGGAUCUCUUGGCUCUGGCAUCGAUGAAGAACGCAGCGAAAUGCGAUACGUAAUGCGAAUUGCAGAAUUCAGCGAGUCAUCGAAUCUUUGAACGCACAUUGCGCCCGCCAGCAUUCUGGCGGGCAUGCCUGUCCGAGCGUCAUUUCCCCCCUCAGCACGCCCCUUCUGCUAUUCUGUAGGAGGCGGGGCGUCGCUGGCGUUGGGGUUCCUCCGCCCUCGUUUGGGCGGCAGGGCCCUCAAAUCCAGUGGCGGGCCCGACUGGUUGGCUCCGAGCGCAGUACCGAACGCAUGUUCUCUCUCUCGCUCUGCAGCCCCGGCCGGCGCUCUAGCCAUCAAGCCGCGCAGGGAGGCCCUUUCGAGGGUCGCCUCGCACUAUUUUUACAAGGUGACCU
rnacentral:rRNA from 1 species